ensembl:lncRNA
UAACCCACUGAGCAAGGCCAGGGAUUGAACCCCCAUUCUCAUGGAUCCUAGUUGGGUUCUUAACCUGCUGAGCCACAAGAGGAACUCCAACCCUAGUUAAUUUUUAAUUUUCUGUGUACUGAGGACCUCUCUUUCAUAGCUUUUUAUACUUAUAAUCAUUUUAUUAAUGUUUAUUUUCCCUAUUAGAGUAUCAAGAAGACAGAGACUAAUCUGUCUUGUUUACUGUUUCCACACUUCCCUAGAAAACAGUAGGUACUCAAUAUUUACUGAGUAAAUAAAUGAACCUUCUGAAAGACUUUUAGAUUUCAACCUUUAUUGCUUAUGGAAACUACAUUGGGGGGGGGGGGGUUCCCUGGGGGUCUAGCAGUUAGGAUUCAGUGAUUUCACUGCCAAGGCUUGAAUUCAAUCCUUAUCUGGGAACUGAGAUCCCACAUAAAGCCACUGCAUGCCACAGCCAAGAAAAAAAAAAACCUUGAAAAAAAAAGAAACUAAUUUUGAUUCUCCUUCCAUAUCAUGGUUCUAUAAAUGUUAUAUAUAGUCUCUGGUGAAAGGAUCCAUCUUGUUAAAGGCUGUAUUUCCACACACCUCGCUUGCACAGAGGUAAGACCAGAGUAGAUGUUCAGUAAGUGAGAUGAAGCCUCUUUCUAAAUGUCAGGAUGGGAAGAUUAUCUUGAAUUGCCCAGUACUGGCCCAUGUUGUUCUCUCUCUCCUUCCUUUCCACCCUCUUUCCUUCCUCCCCGCCCCACCCAGCAUCACCUACCUCUGACUUAGGCAUAUUGAUUAAAGACACUGAGAGGCCAGUGGGGCACUCCCAAACAGACAUAUCUACACUCAACUCUCAAGAUUCAGCUCAAAUGUCACCUUCGUCUUCCUUCCAUCCUUCCUCCCUUAUGUGGGCAAUCACAGAGCUUUCAUCUCCCUGACCAGGCAGUUUGGGGACUUCUCUGCCUCCUCAGCAGAACCACAGACUUCCUGAAAGGCAAGGGCUUUGUCAACAGAAACAGAGAUGAAUAUGGCACUCACAAACACACUCACGAACACACUGACCAGGAGUGCUGGUGGAACAGGAGCAAGGGUCCCUGGACCCCUGCAUAACUGGGGCACCCUUCCACCUCAGGCCCCUCAGGGACCCAAGUGAUGCCAGGAGACCUGGCUCUUUAGGUCAGGCUCUUGUGAGGUUCCAGAUGGACAUUCCAAUAGGGUGCUUGGGACGACUCCCAGAAAAGAGAAUGGGGAGGAGCUAGAGAAGGGGCCCAAGUGAACAGUCUUAAAUGGUCUCGCUGUCGUUAUAUGACCAUCCUGCAAAGGCAACUUCACUCCCAAGGGGUCUGCUCAAACCAGCCUGCAGUCAUAGGGGGGUCCCCUGUGCAGGAAGAAGGUGUCAGAAUCCUCUGGGCACACAGAGGAGCUAUUCUCCAAGUCUUUGUUCUCUUUGAAACAACCAGAUCAUCACCUGCAACUUGGCACACGAAUCACAGUUAAGAGGCUAGCUUAGGAGCUUAAAUUGAAAUGGAGGUUUGUCUUCACAACUUUGUCCAUUAAACUCAUGGACCAAGAUGGAGGCUCUGAUUACAAUCUUUGUCCACCAAACUCACCAUACAGCUCAGCUGGGGCCUGACCCACCCCCACCCAUUUUUUUAAGGAUGCAGAGGUAGGCUAGCCCCCUCAAUUUGACUGAUCAGACCGCUUAGCCUAAAUCAAAAAAAAAAAGAAAGAAAAAAGAAAAAAAAAAAGCCUUGCUCAAAACCAACACAGCUCAACAUAAUUUUUUUUGUUAAUAGCUAAAAUGCCCCUACUUUCUAAUUUUUGGUCCACUUCAAUGCUCUUCGAGAAAAGGGAACUCAAUCCCCCUUCCUUUCAGGUCUGGCCAAGCAGAAAACCAGAGCCCUCUGUACACACUCAGCAUCCAGAGCAACAGCGCUGUGGAUACUUGGACAGACCUCAUCCCGCGCCCAUCCCUGGGGCUGAUGCAGCUGCCCUGGCCCUGGCUCUGGCUCUGUGACCGGGUGGCUAACCCACAUCCCUUCCUUCACACCCCCUUUCAAAAUUACCACUUCCCCGUCCACCAUUCCGGCUGCAAACAGUACAAUGAGUGGAGUCACAGAACAGCCCAGCUCAGUUUCAAAACAUAUCCAACAAACGGGAAAGGUGUUUUCCUUAAGAUUUAAAUAUUUUAAGGAAGAAAAAAAAAAAAACGGGAAGGGAGAAAACAGUGCGGAACAAGGGCUCAGGCCGGGAAGGUCUGCCCUGGUGGAGGUUCCUGCAGCUCUGGUCGCACUCGGCGCCUGGGCUUUCGUCCUGCCCGUCUCCAAAAUGACCCCCAGUCUGGCGACCCCGGCUCCCCAAAAUCGACGUUCCCCAGUGACCGCUGCCGUCCAACGGCCGCGAGACCCCCUUUGAAGCUUGACGGCUGCCGCACGGAUGCUUUCUCUCCCCGCCCCGCUCCGCUCCGGGAAGCCAGGCCUUCGGACUCCGCGCUCGGAGGAGGAAGCCCCGCGGCGCGCGGCUCCAGAAAAGAGGCGG